GACUCUUUGGCACAGUAGGUAGUGCAUCAGUCUUGAAAGCAGAACGUCCCGACAGGACAAGAGUCA
rnacentral:tRNA from 1 species